rnacentral:rRNA from 1 species
AUGGAUGCUGCUGCUGAGGAGUCUCCCCGCCGGUGGCCAUGGGUCGUACCAUUUGUUGAUGGUGAGACAGAGCAGCCAGCCAAUGCCGUAGCCAAGGUCCUCUGCGACGACAACCUCCUUAGGGAGAUCAUAGUCCGCGUCGGCUUCCCAACCACCCUUGUCCGUGCCGCCCUCGUGUGCAAGCGCUGGCUCAGGCAUGCCGCCGACCCUGCCUUCCUCUCUCGUUUCCGCAAGCUCCACCCACCCUCCCUCCUAGGCUACUACUUCUCUGAGUGGUUGGUCUCGUCGAAGAAUCUAGGUGCUCCACCCUUUCACCUAAUGCUGCCUCAGCCCCUGCUGCAAGAGUCUUUUGGCCAUGCCCCCAUCACCAUCCACCUUUCUAGUCCACGCUUUGUCCCGAUGCUACCUCAGCCCCCAGAGCUUGCCACUGUCAUCCGUCACCUUGCUGACUACAGGUUCGGUGUCCACGAUGACACUCUACUGAUCAAGCACUGCCAUAACGGCACCAUCUUCACCCAGCAUGACAAAGGAGAAACAGAAUUGACACUUGGAGUGCACCGCCCGCUGUGCCCUGAGAGAGGUAUGCCUAUCGUCCCACCAUUCCCAUGUGUGGAACGCAAUCUCCAAUGGUUUGGUGCAAUGCUCUCCAAAGAAGGAAGCAACGGUGGCUUGUCCUACCUGUAUGUGUUGGGUACCAAGGACUUGGGAAAGUUCCUGGUGCAUGUGUAUGUGUUGCAAGAUGGUGUUUGGUCCCCGAAUACCUCGGCCACAUGCCAGCCCUGUCUUAUCCAUUGGGAACCAAAAGCUGUGCUUGUUGACAACAAAAUCUAUAUCCCGGCCCGCAACAAUGACAACAUUCUUGUCUUGGAUUUGAUGACCUCAACUUUCUCCACAAUUCAGCUCCCACAAGGAGUAAGCUAUAACUAUUUUAGGACCAUGCUGUCACCGGCCGAUGACGCUUCCGGCGUUUAUCUCAUCCAUGUCAACGGAUUUGAACUUCGCAUAUGGCUCUCCAAGGGGAACAGCUGGUUACUGGUCGAUACCAUUUGUUUGAAUAUGUUAGAUCACACGCUUGAGGACGACCAUAAUGCAAAUGUCCGGAUAAGCCAGGUUGAAAACAAUGCUGAGUUUGUUUUCUUGAGGAUGGGUGGAUGCACACUCUAUCUGGACGUCACGAGCAAGACACUGCGUAAAUUGCAUGAGAGGACAGAAAAUGGUCGACAUUUCAGUGAUACCAAGCCUUUUAUGAUGAUUUGGCCACCCAUAUUCCCUGUGCUCAAGGAUGAUCCUGCAAGGGAUGCCAUGUGA